rnacentral:rRNA from 1 species
AACGAACGCUGGCGGCAUGCCUAACACAUGCAAGUCGAACGAGACCUUCGGGUCUAGUGGCGCACGGGUGCGUAACGCGUGGGAACCUGCCCUUAGGUUCGGAAUAACUCCCCGAAAGGGGUGCUAAUACCGGAUAAUGUCUUCGGACCAAAGAUUUAUCGCCUUUGGAUGGGCCCGCGUUGGAUUAGCUAGUUGGUAGGGUAAAAGCCUACCAAGGCGACGAUCCAUAGCUGGUCUGAGAGGAUGAUCAGCCACACUGGGACUGAGACACGGCCCAGACUCCUACGGGAGGCAGCAGUGGGGAAUAUUGGACAAUGGGCGAAAGCAUGAUCCAGCAAUGCCGCGUGAGUGAUGAAGGCCUUAGGGUUGUAAAGCUCUUUUAACCGGGAUGAUAAUGACAGUACCGGGAGAAUAAGCGCCGGCUAACUCCGUG